UACGGAGGGUGCAAACGUUGUUCGGAAUUACUGGGCGUAAAGCGUGUGUAGGCGGCCUCGUAGGUCGGAUGUGAAAGCUCUCGGCUCAACCUGGAAAGUGCAUUCGAAACCACGAGGCUUGAGUGUCGGAGAGGGGGGCGGAAUUGUCGGUGUAGAGGUGAAAUUCGUAGAUAUCGACAGGAACACCUGCGGCGAAAGCGGCCUUCCGGACGAACACUGACGCUGAGACACGAAAGCGUGGGGAGCAAACAGG
rnacentral:rRNA from 1 species